UAAAUGAACAUGUCUGAAACGCGCUGAA
rnacentral:piRNA from 1 species